GGCCUGUGAGGGUUGCUGGAGGUAUCAGAAGUGCGAAUGCUGACAUAAGUAACGAUAAAGCGGGUGAAAAGCCCGCUCGCCGGAAGACCAAGGGUUCCUGUCCAACGUUAAUCGGGGCAGGGUGAGUCGACCCCUAAGGCGAGGCCGAAAGGCGUAGUCGAUGGGAAACGGGUUAAUAUUCCCGUACUUGGUGUUACUGCGAAGGGGGGACGGAGAAGGCUAUGUUGGCCGGGCGACGGUUGUCCCGGUUUAAGCGUGUAGGUGUGUGUUCCAGGUAAAUCCGGUUCACUUUAACACUGAGGCGUGAUGACGAGGCACUACGGUGCUGAAGCAACAAAUGCCCUGCUUCCAGGAAAAGCCUCUAAGCAUCAGGUAACAUCAAAUCGUACCCCAAACCGACACAGGUGGUCAGGUAGAGAAUACCAAGGCGCUUGAGAGAACUCGGGUGAAGGAACUAGGCAAAAUGGUGCCGUAACUUCGGGAGAAGGCACGCUGACACGUAGGUGAAGUGAUUUACUCAUGGAGCUGAAGUCAGUCGAAGAUACCAGCUGGCUGCAACUGUUUAUUAAAAACACAGCACUGUGCAAACACGAAAGUGGACGUAUACGGUGUGACGCCUGCCCGGUGCCGGAAGGUUAAUUGAUGGGGUCAGCGCAAGCGAAGCUCCUGAUCGAAGCCCCGGUAAACGGCGGCCGUAACUAUAACGGUCCUAAGGUAGCGAAAUUCCUUGUCGGGUAAGUUCCGACCUGCACGAAUGGCGUAAUGAUGGCCAGGCUGUCUCCACCCGAGACUCAGUGAAAUUGAACUCGCUGUGAAGAUGCAGUGUACCCGCGGCAAGACGGAAAGACCCCGUGAACCUUUACUAUAGCUUGACACUGAACAUUGAGCCUUGAUGUGUAGGAUAGGUGGGAGGCUUUGAAGUGUGGACGCCAGUCUGCAUGGAGCCGGCCUUGAAAUACCACCCUUUAAUGUUUGAUGUUCUAACGUGGACCCGUGAUCCGGGUUGCGGACAGUGUCUGGUGGGUAGUUUGACUGGGGCGGUCUCCUCCUAAAGAGUAACGGAGGAGCACGAAGGUUGGCUAAUCCUGGUCGGACAUCAGGAGGUUAGUGCAAUGGCAUAAGCCAGCUUGACUGCGAGCGUGACGGCGCGAGCAGGUGCGAAAGCAGGUCAUAGUGAUCCGGUGGUUCUGAAUGGAAGGGCCAUCGCUCAACGGAUAAAAGGUACUCCGGGGAUAACAGGCUGAUACCGCCCAAGAGUUCAUAUCGACGGCGGUGUUUGGCACCUCGAUGUCGGCUCAUCACAUCCUGGGGCUGAAGUAGGUCCCAAGGGUAUGGCUGUUCGCCAUUUAAAGUGGUACGCGAGCUGGGUUUAGAACGUCGUGAGACAGUUCGGUCCCUAUCUGCCGUGGGCGCUGGAGAACUGAGGGGGGCUGCUCCUAGUACGAGAGGACCGGAGUGGACGCAUCACUGGUGUUCGGGUUGUCAUGCCAAUGGCACUGCCCGGUAGCUAAAUGCGGAAGAGAUAAGUGCUGAAAGCAUCUAAGCACGAAACUUGCCCCGAGAUGAGUUCUCCCUGAGACUUUAGGUCUCCUGAAGGAACGUUGAAGACGACGACGUUGAUAGGCCGGGUGUGUAAGCGCAGCGAUGCGUUGAGCUAACCGGUACUAAUGAACCGUGAGGCUUAACCUUACA
rnacentral:rRNA from 1 species